rnacentral:rRNA from 1 species
GAUGAACGCUAGCUACAGGCUUAACACAUGCAAGUCGCGGGGCAGCAUGGGGGUUGCUUGCAAUCCCCGAUGGCGACCGGCGCACGGGUGAGUAACGCGUAUCCAACCUGCCCUUCACCACGGGAUAACCCGGCGAAAGUCGGACUAAUACCGUAUGUUGUCCAUUGACGGCAUCCGAUUUGGACGAAAGGUUUGGCGGUGAAGGAUGGGGAUGCGUCCGAUUAGCUGGACGGCGGGGUGACGGCCCACCGUGGCGACGAUCGGUAGGGGUUCUGAGAGGAAGGUCCCCCACACUGGAACUGAGACACGGCCCAGACUCCUACGGGAGGCAGCAGUGAGGAAUAUUGAUCAAUGGGCGUAAGCCUGAACCAGCCAAGUAGCGUGCAGGAUGACGGCCCUAUGGGUUGUAAACUGCUUUUAUGCGGGGAUAAAGUGGCCCACGUGUGGGUUUUUGCAGGUACCGCAUGAAUAAGGACCGGCUAAUUCCGUG